rnacentral:rRNA from 1 species
GACGAACGCUGGCGGCGUGCUUAACACAUGCAAGUCGAACGGUGAAGCGCCUUCCUUUUUGGUGGGUGUGGAUGAGUGGCGAACGGGUGAGUAACACGUGAGUAACCUGCCCCCUUCUUCUGGAUAACCGCAUGAAAGUGUGGCUAAUACGGGAUAUUCUGGGUCUGUCGCAUGAUGGGUCUGGGAAAGGUAUUGGUUCGGUGGGGGAUGGGCUCGCGGCCUAUCAGCUUGUUGGUGGGGUGAUGGCCUACCAAGGCGGUGACGGGUAGCCGGUCUGAGAGGGUGGACGGUCACACUGGGACUGGGCCACGGCCGAGACUCCUACGGGCGGCAGCAGUGGGGAAUGUUGCACAAUGGGCGAUAGCCUGAUGCAGCGACGCCGCGUGCGGGAUGGAGGCCUUCGGGUUGUGAACCUCUUUCGCCAGUGACGCAGGCCUGCCUCGUUUGUGGGUGGGUUGACGGUAGCUGGAUAAGAAGCGCCGGCUAACUACGUG